rnacentral:sRNA from 1 species
GCCAGGCAUGGUGGUGCACACCUGUAAUCCCAGCUACUGAGGAGGCUGAUGCAGGAGACCAGGUUGUGAGAACCUGUCUCAA